UACGUAGGUGGCAAGCGUUGUCCGGAAUUAUUGGGCGUAAAGGGUGCGUAGGCGGUCGUGCAAGUCGGAUGUGAAAUCUCAGGGCUCAACCCUGAACUGCAUUCGAUACUGCGCGGCUAGAGUGCUGGAGGGAGACUGGAAUUUACGGUGUAGCAGUGAAAUGCGUAGAUAUCGUAAGGAAGACCAGUGGCGAAGGCGAGUCUCUGGACAGCAACUGACGCUGAGCACGAAGGCCAGGGAGCAAAGCGGG
rnacentral:rRNA from 1 species